rnacentral:rRNA from 1 species
CCUACGGGAGGCAGCAGUAAGGAAUAUUGCUCAAUGGGAGAAAUCCUGAAGCAGCAACGCCGCGUGGAGGAUGAAAUACUUUUGUAUGUAAACUCCUGUAAGAAGGGAAAAAUAUACAGUUAUUCUGUGUUGAUUGUACCUUCAGAGUAAGCCCCGGCUAACUACGUGCCAGCAGCCGCGGUAAU